UACGAAGGGGACUAGCGUUGUUCGGAAUUACUGGGCGUAAAGCGCGCGUAGGCGGAUCGCUAAGUCAGGGGUGAAAUCCCAGGGCUCAACCCUGGAACUGCCUUUGAUACUGGCGAUCUGGAGAUCGGGAGAGGUUGGUGGAAUUCCGAGUGUAGAGGUGAAAUUCGUAGAUAUUCGGAGGAACACCAGAAGCGAAGGCGGCCAACUGGCCCGAUACUGACGCUGAGGCGCGAAAGCGUGGGGAGCAAACAGG
rnacentral:rRNA from 1 species